rnacentral:SRP_RNA from 1 species
GCUGGGCGCGCACCUGUAGUCCCAGCUACUCGGGAGGCUGAAGCUGUAGUGCGCUAUGCUGAUCGGGUGUCCACACUAAGUUCGGCAUCAAUAUGGUGGCCUCCCGGGAGUGGGGGGCCACCAGGUUUCCUAAGGAGGGGUGAACCGGCCCAGGUUGGAGACGAAGCAGGUCAAAGCUCCCGUGCUGAUCAGUAGUGGGAUCGCGCCUGUGAAGAGCCACUGCACUCCAGCCUGGGCAACAU